UACGGAGGAUGCGAGCGUUAUCCGGAUUUAUUGGGUUUAAAGGGUGCGUAGGCGGAUUUUUAAGUCAGCGGUAAAAUGUCCGGGCUCAACCCGGGCCGGCCGUUGAAACUGGGGAUCUUGAGUGGGCGAGAAGUAUGCGGAAUGCGUGGUGUAGCGGUGAAAUGCAUAGAUACCACGCAGAACUCCGAUUGCGAAGGCAGCAUACCGGCGCCCGACUGACGCUGAGGCACGAAAGCGUGGGGAUCGAACAGG
rnacentral:rRNA from 1 species